rnacentral:tRNA from 1 species
GAGGUAGCUCAGUCGGGUAAGCGCCCGCUUCUCACGCAAGAGAUGCGGGUUCGAAUCCCGGCGCUGACA